UACGUAUGGUGCAAGCGUUAUCCGGAUUUACUGGGUGUAAAGGGAGCGCAGGCGGCACGGCAAGCCUGAUGUGAAAGCCCGCGGCCCAACCGCGGGACUGCAUUGGGAACUACCGGGCUGGAGUGCCGGAGAGGUAGGCGGAAUUCCUAGUGUAGCGGUGAAAUGCGUAGAUAUUAGGAGGAACACCAGUGGCGAAGGCGGCCUACUGGACGGUGACUGACGCUGAGGCUCGAAAGCGCGGGGAGCAAACAGG
rnacentral:rRNA from 1 species